CUGGAGUGCCCUGGCGCGAUCUCGGCUCACUGCAGGCUCCGCCCCUGGGGUUCACGCCAUUUUCCUGCCUCAGCCUCCCCAGUAGCUGGGACUACAGGAGCCCGCCACCUCGCCCGGCUAAUUUUUUGUAUUUUUAGUAGAGACGGGGUUUCACCGUGUUAGCCAGGAUGGUCUUGAUCUCCUGACCUCGUGAUCCGCGCGCCUCGGUCUCCCAAAAUGCUGGGAUUACAGGCGUGUGCCACCGCGCCUGGCCUCAUCUCUUAAUUCGAGUAAUUUUACAUAAGCAACAAUGGGGUAAGGAGGAGAAAAGAAAGAAGGAAAAAUUGGAAAGAUAAAUGGGGUCUUUCCAGUGAAGCCUCCAGGCCUCCAGACUGGAACUUAUACCACUGAUUCUUCUGAAUCUUAGGCCUUUGGACUUGGACUGGAACUAAACCAUCAGCUCUUCUUGUUCUACCACUUGCAGACUGUAUGUCUUGGGACAUGUCAGCCUCUGUAAUCACGCUCAAUUUUCCUACAUAAUUAAGAGUUUGGAAUUCGGGCAAUAUCAAGAACCACAUCUGUCCUGAAAUCAAUUAUCUCUGUUUGGAAUAUGGAUAUGAGAGAUCACUUUGCUGUGCUGUAAAUGAUCGAUUAAAAUACAUAUUUCU
rnacentral:lncRNA from 1 species